AUUAAAGUUUAUUUUUGGAAUAAACUUUUACCCUAAGUAAAUUAUUACCACAAUCAAAUAGGAAAAGGGUUUGUAGGUGAUGAUAAACUUUACCCUAAGUAAAUUAUUACCACAACCAAAUAGGAAAAGGGUUGUAGGUGAUGUUAUAUAAAGGGUGAUGGAGAAAAUUUGUAAAGUUUUUUAGUUUUUUAUUUUUCUUGAGAGAAAAUCUACUUUGUGAAAGUGAGAGUGCAAUUCAAAGCCAAGAGAGAAAAUACAAUUGCAAGAAAAGUGUUUCUUGUUCUUCUAAUUUGAGUUGAGAUUUUUGAGAAAAAUUUCAACACAAUAUUCUUUGUUNN
rnacentral:lncRNA from 1 species